AUGCAGUUACUUCGAAGACUGCGGCUCUGGGGGCUCGGCGCCUCCGCAGGCCUGAUCGCCUCGGCCCGAGCCCCGGGCGCCAGCCGCUACCACCGCCCCCCGCCCCGCCCCCGCGCGCCGCCCGCCAGUCCUCCGCCCCGCCUCCGCCCCCGCGUCGUGCUUAGCCCGGAGUCGCAGCGCCCGGCCGUCGUCGCCUGCAGAGGCCCGUCGCCCGCCACCGCUGCCUGCAUGGAGCUCCCCGGAGCUGGGCUGAAUUCCAAUGAAUGUGAAAGUGUAUCAAGCAAAGAAAAAAUGUCAGAAGAAUUUGAAGCCAACACCAUGGAUUUUCUGGUAGAUUUGCCAUUUGCUACCAUAGAUAUUAAAGAAGAUAGUGAAAUCACUGAUGUUCCCAAAGUAAAUUUGGAGAGAAGUAAAGAAAAUGAAUGCAACAAUAAAGAGCAAAUAAAGAAGAGGAAAAAAAAGCGAAAAGAUUAUCAACCCAACUAUUUCCUAUCCAUUCCAAUCACCAACAAAGAGAUUACAAAAGGAAUUAAGAUCAUGCAAAAUGCAAUAAUACAACAAGAUGAGCAACUGGCCAAAGCAAUGAGCAGUGAUGGUUCCUUUCAUAUUACCUUACUAGUGAUGCAGUUAUUGAAUGAAGAUGACGUAAACAUUGGUGUUGAUGCUCUUUUGGAAUUAAAACCAUUUGUAGAAGAAAUCCUCCAAGGAAAACCUUUGACUUUGCCCUUUGAAGGGGUUGACACUUUCGGAAAUCAGGUUGGAUUUGUGAAGCUGGCAGAAGGAGGUCACAUAAACUCACUUUUGGAGAUAGCAGAUGCUGCAAAAAGGACAUUUCAAGAAAAAGGUAUCUUGGCAGGAGAAAGCAGAACUUUUAAGCCUCAUUUGACCUUCAUGAAAUUGUCCAGGUCACCAUGGCUCUGGAAGAAGGGAGUGAAAAAAAUAGACCCCAAAUUGUACGAAAAAUUUAUCGGCCAUAGAUUUGGAGAAGAAGUGGUACAUUGUAUAGAUCUUUGCUCCAUGCUGAAGAAAAAGCAAAGUAAUGGCUAUUAUCACUGUGAGUCUUCAAUUGUAAUUGGUGAUAAGAAUGGAGGUGAGCCUGAUGAUGCUGAACUGGUAAGGCUCAGUAAGAGGCUGGUGGAGAAUGCAGUGCUCAAGGCUGUCCAGCAGUAUCUGGAAGAAACACAGAGCAAAAACAAGCCAGGGGAUGGGAGCUCUGUGAAAACGGAAGAGGCUGAUAGGAAUGGCACUGACAGUGACAACAACAGGAAAUGA
rnacentral:lncRNA from 1 species